rnacentral:lncRNA from 1 species
ACUACUUAGCUGUUUCCAGGUAUGCUCCGCCCAUUAACCUAAGCCUUUUGCAUGCCAAUACAUAUUAAUUCUCCACCUGUGAUUUGCUGGAGGAGAGAGAACGCGCCCAUUUUUUUACCGAUAAAAAUGUAUGCAAAGCUAAGGCUGCUCAUCAUAAUGGAAGUAACUUAGACAGUAACAUAAGAUGCCAACUAGGCAUUUUGGUGACAUGACAUGGUAUUAAAUGAAGAAAGAGAGGAAGGUGAUAACUAAAUAUGUUACCAUAACAUCACACAAAUCAAAACAAAAUGAGUUUACAACCUAAUAAAUGAAACAAUGCAUGACACCACAUAUAUGUUACUACCCACUAUGGAGGUGGUAACUUAGACUAGUAACAUAUACAUGUUACUUCCCACUGUGACCAGCCUAAUGCAGAUCGGUCCAAGUAGCAUGUUCAGGAGCCUUUGCAUUAAUCCCCACUGCAUGCAUAGCCGGCGCCUGCUCCCAUGGAGUAUAAAAGCACAUUUAACUAAUUCUCUCCGAGCUCAGCCUUGGUAUGCACAAAAAAAUUCAUACAUCCUACAAAAUGGAAAGGAGGGAUAUAUGUUAAAAUACAUGACCGGGUUAACCAGAAAAAAAAAGACAUUAUAAAAAAUUCCAUAAUAAAGCAAAACUUCCUACCAUUAAUUUUGUGAACCGUCCUUAAUCAGAAAGUACGGAGUACGUUCACAGGAAAGGAGUACGUUCAUAGGAAAGCUAAGCACAUAAACUACGUCUGAUGCCGUUAUUAG